CAGUAGCCGCGGUAAUACGAAGGGGGCUAGCGUUGCUCGGAAUGACUGGGCGUAAAGGGCGCGUAGGCGGAUGGCACAGUCAGAUGUGAAAUUCCCGGGCUUAACCUGGGGGCUGCAUUUGAUACGUGUUGUCUAGAGUGAGGAAGAGGGUCGUGGAAUUCCCAGUGUAGAGGUGAAAUUCGUAGAUAUUGGGAAGAACACCGGUGGCGAAGGCGGCGACCUGGUCCUUUACUGACGCUGAGGCGCGAAAGCGUGAGGAGCAAACAGGAUUAGAUACCCCAGUAGUCCCUGUCUCUUAUAC
rnacentral:rRNA from 1 species